rnacentral:rRNA from 1 species
UACGGGGGGUGCGAGCGUUGUCCGGAAUCACUGGGCGUAAAGGGCGCGUAGGUGGUCUUGUAAGUCUGUGGUGAAAGCCCGGGGCUCAACCCCGGGUCUGCCAUGGAUACUGCGAGACUUGAGUACUGUAGAGGCUGGUAGAAUGCCGGGUGUAGCGGUGGAAAGCGUAGAGAUCCGGCAGAAGACCGGUGGCGAAGGCGGCCAGCUGGGCAGUAACUGACACUGAGGCGCGACAGCGUGGGGAGCAAACAGGAUUAGAUACCCUGGUAGUCCACGCCGUAAACGAUGGGUACUAGAUGCUUCGGGGAGCGACCCCUGGAGUGUCGGCGCUAACGCAGGAAGUACCCCGCCUGGGGAGUACGGCCGCAAGGCUGAA